ACGGCUCAGUAACACGUGGACAACCUACCCUGAGGAGGGGGAUAACCCCGGGAAACUGGGGAUAAUACCCCAUAGACUAUGGAUGCUGGAAUGCUCUGUAGUUAAAAGGCCCGCCGCCUCAGGAUGGGUCUGCGGCCGAUUAGGUUGUUGUUGGGGUAACGGCCCAACAAGCCUGUAAUCGGUACGGGUUGUGGGAGCAAGAGCCCGGAGAUGGAUUCUGAGACACGAAUCCAGGCCCUACGGGGCGCAGCAGGCGCGAAGACUUUACAAUGCGAGCAAUCGUGAUAAGGGAACUCCGAGUGCCCGUAAAAUCGGGCUGUCCGCCAGUGUAGAUAACUGGUGAAGAAAGGGCCGGGCAAGACCGGUGCCAGCCGCCGCGGUAAUACCGGCGGCUCGAGUGGUGGCCACUAUUACUGGGCUUAAAGCGUUCGUAGUUGGUCUGUUAAGUCUCUGGGGAAAUCUUCCGGCUUAACCGGAAGGCGUCUCAGGGAUACUGACAGACUAGGGACCGGAAGAGGUGAGAGGUACUCCAGGGGUAGGAGUGAAAUCCUGUAAUCCUUGGGGGACCACCUGUGGCGAAGGCGUCUCACCAGGACGGCUCCGACAGUGAGGAACGAAAGCUGGGGGAGCAAACCGGAUUAGAUACCCGGGUAGUCCCAGCUGUAAACGAUGCGCGUCAGGUGUAUCGGUGACCACGAGUCACCGAGGUGCCGAAGAGAAGUCGUGAAACGCGCCGCCUGGGAAGUACGGUCGCAAGGCUGAAACUUAAAGGAAUUGGCGGGGGAGCAC
rnacentral:rRNA from 1 species